ensembl:lncRNA
GCAAGGUUAGAAAGUCAUUAUGAUAACAGUCACUCAGCAUUAUCACACCUUUUUCAAAAUGUAUUUAAAUAAAGAAAGCAUGCAUAUAGUACACAUCUGGAAUCUCCAACGAGCGGCAACACAAGCUGUCGUCUGAGCUCAUCUUGAUUGUCUAAAAGCUUGUCGUAAACAGGAAUCUAUUACACUUUAACCUUACCUUCCAUUUGACGUGAGUGUGUUACAAGCUGUGGUUCUGUAACUUUGUUACUUUUGAAUUUUCUUGAUCUAAAACUGAAUGUAAAAAAAACCUGUCUGAUUUACUUUAAAUGCUCUGUGUUGUUGUGUCGUUUGCAUGAGGUGUUAACAGGGGUCUUUCAGCGACGAGGUCAUUGUCAUCUUGUAGUUCAAAUGCAUUCCAUGGAUGAUUCAUUUUCUUUCUUUUCUUUUUAAAAUAGGAGCAAGGUGGGGGGGAGAAGAGAGCUCUAUUUAACACCUCUGCUAACCAACUUCCUGGGGGAAAACCUAAAAACUAUUAAGAAUUUCACAAGAAAAUGGUCAGGUUCAGAGAAGUUCAAAAUGAGUGCAUGUAGCAGAUUUCCUUAAUUCUUGCAUAAAAUUGAUGACAGCUUGUGUUUCCUGCCCAGUCUGAUUCUUAAGAACCGGGAGGUGAUUACAAACUUAUUGAUGCUAAAAAAGAACUGAAUUAAAAUAAACCAGAAUUGUCCUUUAAAACUGCAUCCUGAGGUUUACAGUAACUUCAGAGCAGUUCUUGACCAUUAAAUCGAAGAGGGCUUUCAUGGCUCCAGAGUAUUCUAUAUACUGUCUGUACAGUUUGUAACUAUAUCACUCUGUGUACAAUAUUUAAAGCUGUGUAUAGACAGAAUUUUUGCAAGUGUGUAAUACUAAUGAAACAUGUACUCUAUUACUCAACAACUUCAAAUUGGAGUGUCUGUAAAUCAGUAUAUACACAUAAUCCUAAUCAACACCACACUAAAUGUGAAUUAUAUGUGAGUUACAUGCCAGUACUACCCUACAACUUUACUCACUACUUACUUUUACUCACUAAGUAGCGGUACUUUCUAUAUUCAAGUGAUAUCCAAAAACACGGUUGCAGCUUUCAGAGAAAAACCUGUGUUUGUCUUAAAGUUUCGGUCCUUACAGAAACUUUUUGACACAUUUUUUUCCGACUUGACUGAUAAUUCAGCAACGGCACGAGAAUCAAAACAUGCACAGCUGUUUGUCUUUGUGGAGGAAGAUGAUGCGACGUUGCAUCAUAAAGUAUUUGUGCAGCAGUAGAAAACUGCAAACCAGUACAGUAGUACAUGAUAAACUUUAAUGUAAAGGGGACCUAUUAUGCUUAUCCUUUUUUUUAUGGGAUAGUGGAUGUUCAUCUUUAAACGUGACCAAAGUUUCAAAUAAUGAGGUCUGUGUAGGUACAAGAAAUCCCUUCGAGCAGAAAGCUCAGGCAUUUCAGCAAGGCACCUUUAGUUUUUGAGGGGCAGCCAAUCAACAGAAAGCUGCUUUAAAGUGUGCAGGACAGGAUGUAAUGGCAUCGUUUCAGAUAGAAGUCCAGUAUAAAGUGAAUUUUAAUGAAGGGUCAAUCAUGCAAUGUUACUCCAGUAGAGUCCAAAAUAGCAUAAUAUGUCCCCUUUUAGUUAAAACAUGAUUAAAUCACUAAGAUGUGUACUUUUUCUUACGACUGAGGACCUAUGUUGGCUCAGAACCAAAGAAAAUAAUUUCCUGUCGUUUCAAAAACUGAGGGUUUGCUUGGCAGGUAGUUCAUGUCAUGUAUGGGAAGAUGCUGCACUGUGGUUCAUGCUGUCUUGUGCUCAACCACAAACGUUUUGGCCAGCAGCAGCGGUGCAGAAUGAUCACACCCUGCAUGAGUUCACAAUGCGAUGCACACGGAUGUUCACACAACAACACAUUCGCGCGUGUACGAGCCGCCCCGAGGCCCACCGAGUGAAGUUUAGGAUCGCUGGUUCAGGGUUUUAAAUGUUUAAUUUCUGGUUUUUGUUUCCACCAGCUGCCAUGGUUUAAAAAGUCAACGUCAAAAGCUAAAAUCAUAGCGCUUUCUUCUUAUUUCUCGUGUUUUAACAGCAAACUGGCUCCUUUGGUUUACUCAGGAGACUAACAAAGACAGACAAAAAGAUCAGCUUUGCCAGCAUUAAAGAUUAAAUAGAUUUCUUUGUCAUGAAAUCUCAGUCUAAAUUUCUUUCAGAUUUACUCAGGAGACACAUAGCUAGCUCCACUUGCCCAUGAGUAACUAUGUGAGUCAGGCUGUCUAAAUACGAAACCUUCAUUGCACAUGGAGACCUCGGCACUAAUGAACUCUCCGCAACACUAAUGAGAACUAAUAUUUAUGUGUUUAAGUAAUGUGUGGUGGAGCAACACUGCUGGCAUUCAACAAGUUUAAUGAACACAAAGAAAACAACCACAGAGCCACACAAAGAGACCGCUUUUCUUUCUCCAUCUCAAUCUCUCUGUUUGUAAAUAUUCCACUAAAUAAACUGAAACUUGCACUGAAA